rnacentral:rRNA from 1 species
UANANUUUNNNNNAUGGCUCAGGAUGAACGCUGGCGGCGUGCCUAAUACAUGCAAGUCGAACGCUUUGUGGUUCAACUGAUUUGAAGAGCUUGCUCAGAUAUGACGAUGGACAUUGCAAAGAGUGGCGAACGGGUGAGUAACACGUGGGAAACCUACCUCUUAGCAGGGGAUAACAUUUGGAAACAGAUGCUAAUACCGUAUAACAAUAGCAACCGCAUGGUUGCUACUUAAAAGAUGGUUCUGCUAUCACUAAGAGAUGGUCCCGCGGUGCAUUAGUUAGUUGGUGAGGUAAUGGCUCACCAAGACGAUGAUGCAUAGCCGAGUUGAGAGACUGAUCGGCCACAAUGGGACUGAGACACGGCCCAUACUCCUACGGGAGGCAGCAGUAGGGAAUCUUCCACAAUGGGCGAAAGCCUGAUGGAGCAACGCCGCGUGUGUGAUGAAGGGUUUCGGCUCGUAAAACACUGUUGUAAGAGAAGAAUGACAUUGAGAGUAACUGUUCAAUGUGUGACGGUAUCUUACCAGAAAGGAACGGCUAAAUACGUGCCAGCAGCCGCGGUAAUACGUAUGUUCCAAGCGUUAUCCGGAUUUAUUGGGCGUAAAGCGAGCGCAGACGGUUAUUUAAGUCUGAAGUGAAAGCCCUCAGCUCAACUGAGGAAUUGCUUUGGAAACUGGAUGACUUGAGUGCAGUAGAGGAAAGUGGAACUCCAUGUGUAGCGGUGAAAUGCGUAGAUAUAUGGAAGAACACCAGUGGCGAAGGCGGCUUUCUGGACUGUAACUGACGUGNGNU